CCCAAAAUGACGCCAAAAUGACCCCAAAGGACUCCAGAAUACCCCAAAACCACCCAAAACCACCCCAAAAUGACACAAAACCACCCCAAAAUGACCCCAGUGACCCCAAAACCACCCCAAACCCCCCAAAACGUCCCCAAAACCCCUCCAAACCCCCCCAAAAUGACCCCAAAACCACCCAAAAUCGCGCCAAAGCACCCCAAAACCACCCCCAAGUCCCCCCAAAAUAACCCCAAAGGAUCCCCAAAACCCCCCAAAAUGACGCAAAACCACCCCAAAACCACCCCAAAAUGACCCCAAAACCACCCCAAAGGACCCCAAAUGACCCCAAAACGACCCCAAAACCACUCCAAAGGACCCCAAAAUCACCCCAAAGCACCCCAAAGAACCCCAAAGUGACCCCAAAUUACUCCAGAAGGAUCCCAAAGGACCCCAAAGUGACCCCAAAACCACCCCAAAUCCCCCCAAAAUGACCCCAAAGGACCCCCAAAACUACCCCAAAUCCCCCCAAAAUGACGCAAAACCACCCCAAAACCACCCCAACGGACCCCAAAGUGACCCCAAAACCACCCCAAAUGACGCCAAAAUGACCCCAAAGUGACCCCAAAACCACCUCAAAGGACCCCAAAACCACCCCAAAGUACCCCAAAGUGACCCCAAAACCACCCAAAAUAACCCCAAAAUGACCCCAAAGGACCCCCAAAACCACCCCAAAUCCCCCCAAAAUGACCCCAAAGGACCCCCCAAAACCACCCAAAAUGACUCAAAACCACCCCAAAACGCCCCCAAACCCCCCCAAAUGACGCAAAACCACCCCAAAAUCCCACAGUGACCCCAAAACGACCCCAAAAAGCCCCCCCAAAUAGCGCAUCUCCCACCGCAUUUCUCUCCAUCCUCAGUUUCUUUAUUCCCCUCUCGGCUCUUUUUUUCAUUCCACGGACCCAAAACGGCACGAAUUGACCCCAAAAUCCCCCCACCCCCCCCGACCCCAUAAACCCCCC
ensembl:lncRNA